UGCAAGUCGAACGCUUUGUCUUUAAUUGAUAUGAAGAGCUUGCUCUGAUUUGAUUUUAUCUGACAAAGAGUGGCGAACGGGUGAGUAACACGUGGGUAACCUACCUCUUAGCAGGGGAUAACAUUUGGAAACAAGUGCUAAUACCGUAUAAUACUAACAACCGCAUGGUUGUUAAUUGAAAGAUGGUUCUGCUAUCACUAAGAGAUGGACCCGCGGUGCAUUAGCUAGUUGGUAAGGUAAUGGCUUACCAAGGCGAUGAUGCGUAGCCGAGUUGAGAGACUGAUCGGCCACAAUGGGACUGAGACACGGCCCAUACUCCUACGGGAGGCAGCAGUAGGGAAUCUUCCACAAUGGGCGCAAGCCUGAUGGAGCAACGCCGCGUGUGUGAUGAAGGGUUUCGGCUCGUAAAACACUGUUAUAAGAGAAGAACGACAUUGAGAGUAACUGUUCAGUGUGUGACGGUAUCUUAUCAGAAAGGAACGGCUAAAUACGUGCCAGCAGCCGCGGUAAUACGUAUGUUCCAAGCGUUAUCCGGAUUUAUUGGGCGUAAAGCGAGCGCAGACGGUUAUUUAAGUCUGAAGUGAAAGCCCUCAGCUCAACUGAGGAAGGGCUUUGGAAACUGGAUAACUUGAGUGCAGUAGAGGAAAGUGGAACUCCAUGUGUAGCGGUGA
rnacentral:rRNA from 1 species